GGCUCAGAUUGAACGCUGGCGGCAUGCUUACACAUGCAAGUCGAGCGGGGUUUCGGACCUAGCGGCGGACGGGUGAGUAAUGCGUAGGAAGCUACCCGACAGGGGGGGAUACCAGUUGGAAACGACUGUUAAUACCGCAUAAUGUCUACGGCCAAAGUGUGGGACCUUCGGGGCCACAUGCUGUCGGAUGCGCCUACGUGGGAUUAGCUAGUUGGUGAGGUAAUGGGCUCACCAAGGCGACGAUCCCUAGCUGGUUUGAGAGGAUGAUCAGCCACACUGGAACUGAGACACGGUCCAGACUCCUACGGGAGGCAGCAGUGGGGAAUAUUGGACAAUGGGCGCAAGCCUGAUCCAGCCAUGCCGCGUGUGUGAAGAAGGCCUUCGGGUUGUAAAGCACUUCAGCGAGGAGGAAGGGUUGUGUGUUAAUAGCACAUGGCCUUGACGUUACUCGCAGAAGAAGCACCGGCUAACUCUGUG
rnacentral:rRNA from 1 species